AGAGAUUAUCUGUAGACAUGAACAAGGAGAAAUACUUAGCUUUUCCUGAAACUUAAGGCCUAAUACAAUAAAAAUGGAUACUCUGAACGGAUUCCAGUUACCACUGAACAGUUGUUGAACUUCUGUCUGAACCAUUGAUUGUUUGGGAUGUUAGGAAGAACUUCUUUACCGAAAGGGUUGUUAGACACCGGAACAGGCUGCCCAGGGAAGUGGUGGAGUCACCAUCCCUGGAAGUCUUUAAAAGAUGUUUAGAUGUAGAGCUUAGGGAUAUGGUUUAGUGGGGACUGUUAGUGUUAGGUCAGAGGUUGGACUCGAUGAUCUUGAGGUCUCUUCCAACCUAGAAAUUCUGUGAUUCUGUGAUUCUGUUUAUAUACCAUGUUUUAUCUCCAACCUGGUGUUGCUUUUGUUUGCUGCUUUACAUAACAAGCUGAAACAGGUUCCUCCCACAUCGGAGCAUUUAGAAGAUGGGUCCCAUCUAAUAGCACCACUUCACUAUAAACUGGGGUUGCUGAAAACUUCUUUCUCUUUCAGAGAGGCUUAUUCUCCUGAUAUUGCUCAAAUCUUCUGGCCCUGUGGAGUCACAAGGAAGGCUGACUCAUUUGUGGCAGGCCGGGCUGUUUCCUUGCUGAAUAUGUGACAACAUAGACCCCUCCAUGGCUGCAUACUGUGAAAUUUCAAUCCCUGUCCUGUCAGCCUGUUCAUGUGAAGACGGAUGAUAUGCCUGAUGAAGUCAAAGGGCCUGAUCCUGCUACUGCUGAAGUAACUAAUAAAUCUCCCAUUAACUUCAGAGAAGCCCUGAAGGAGCCACUUGGUCAAAUUGCUCAAUUAAACAGAGACAAAGUAGCCAUCACGAGUGUUUUGGAGACAGAGAGCCAGGCAGCCCCUGAAGCAGGACAGCAGACCAAGGAGGGUGCAGACUGGGAGAUGUCUGUGCCCUGGGGUGCCUGGAGAGAUGCACCUAGAGGAAACUUUGCAGACCAACUGAAAAAGAGGUGCAGAACAACCUUCAUUUCUCCUUACCCUGGCAAGGACUGGAGUUUGACAGCAUACUGAUGAAAAAAAGACAUUAUGUGAAUGGCAGAAAAGACAUACAGUAGCAAGGUGAUCCUACUACAUAUGGAUAUGUACAGAGAGAUAUCUCAGAACAUCUUCAUUUAAUUUUCUCUUCUGCAAAAGAGAUGGAACAAGGAGGUUUUCAUUUCAAGAUAAAUGCUAAUUGACACUCUGCCUCCCAGGAAAAUAUCACAUGAAGAAAAUGCAGCCUUCCCUGCAGAACAGAGAAGACUGCAAAAUGCUGUUCUGAAUUCCUGAGCUUCAUGGCAUCGAGUUUUAAAUUUUCAUGUCUCCAGGUUUUCAAUAUUUACUUUCAUUUCCUUAUCAAGUUAUAAAAAGGAUGAUGAUUUCAUUGCUUGUGACUUAUUCUUGGGACUUUGGAAGUACCAGUAUCAGUCACUAGUAUUAUUAAAAAACAGUACAGACCCCUGUAUCAGGGAAGGAAAAAUCCAAACAUGGACAGAUUUGUUUCUUUCCUCUUGGUGUGAAAAUGAUAGUACUCCCUAACACAACCCAAAUAGUGAAGAACGAUACUCAUUCAAUUGUGUUUCAACAUUAUAUUCUGCUUUACUUUAUAGAAUAUUUGGAAAAAUUCAGAAUUUUUUUUUCCCAAAAAGAUACUGAAGGGAAUUUCUUAUUCUUCUAAUCUUAAUUAAACAUUGAUAUGUGUAAAAUGUUUUGUGGCUACACGUUCCUUCAAGCUUCCACUUCAAGAUGAAAUGUUUGUUUAAUGUUUUCCACAAAAUGCACACCUCAAGAUUUCAUAGAUACCAGAAUUCUGAAAUUCUAAGUUAUUAUACACAUUGGAAAUGUAAGGAUAUCACACCUGUGCUUUCAUUCUGAACUGUUUCUGAUUCUGUUGAAGGAUUAUUUUGUCAUGUUGACUGGAUCUUUCCAGCUAUGUCUACCAUUUAUUGAACUAUUAAUAUAAUCCACAUGGAAUGUUACAUGAGGCAGCAAUCCUGCAGCUAGGAUUGUAGGCAAUCAUGUAAUUAAAGAUUGUAUCAUGAUACAUCAGCACAGGGAGGCCAAUUUAAUAAGAACAAGAACAAUCUGAAGUCUGGCACUUUCUUUGUUUAGGACUUGCCUUUACAAAUGUCUAAUGAACUAAUCUGAUCUGAUAAUUGCAUGUCUUUUUUGUACUAGAGGAUAUAGUCAGAAGAUACAUUUCUAGAAUAAUUGAAGCAUAAUACCUUUAGCAAAAGAAAAAAAGAGCUCAAAUUCUAGUUCAUCACUUUUCUUAAAGUAUUUCUUCUGCUCAAUAUUUGGCCUUCAUAUUUACUGGUGUGGAAAGUAGGAUUUGAUAGGCUGGAUGGUUUUAUUUGGCAGAGGAAGAAGUUUGUUGUUUACAUUUGCUUAGCUGGUAGAACAGCAUGCUCAGGUGUUUCCUAGUAACUUAAACAGCUACCCCUAAUACUUUUAAAAUAAAAUUAAAAAUAUGAAAUGCA
rnacentral:lncRNA from 1 species